ACAAGCCUACUGGGAGGGGCGAAACACAUAGUCAGUAUGUAAAAGGCCUCAGAGACAGUUUGACAGAGAGUUACAAAAUUGCUAUUGAACAUAGCGAAAAGACUGCCUCUUACAACAAACAGAGAUUUGACAACAAGGUGAGGGAGUCUAAGCUCGAAGUGGGAGAUCGUGUGUUAGUGAAAAAUGUAGGUCUCCGUGGUAAACACAAGAUUUCCAACAGGUGGACUGACACUGUUUACAAAGUGAUUAAACAGAUAGAAAACCUCCCUGUUUAUGUAGUAGCUCCCUUUGAUGAUGUGGGUCCAGAAAGAGUCUUGCAUAGAGACUUGUUACUACCCUGUGGUUUUCUGUCAGUUGCAAAAGAGCAACCUGAGCCCAUAACACAAACCCAAACAAGGAAGUCUAAAAGACUGCAGUCAAGUGCGACAAAAAGAGGUGCUGGACAUGAAGUUCCAGAGGAUUCGCUGCUGGACAGCGAGGAUGAAGAUGUGGAGUAUUAUUACUAUCCUCCAACAAAGAUGGUGUCUGAUGUUGGAACCCGAAACGAUGAUGAACAGGACAGAGACAUGCAAAUUGGAUCUGAAGACCAAGUGUUGGACACAAAUGAACUUGCCAGUGAGAGAACAGAAACUGACAAUACAGAACAGGACGUGACAAACGAACAUGUUUCAGUGCCAUCACUUAAUCCUGAAGCUUCACCAUUUGAGCCACAAGAGCCAAAAGAGACCAUAUCAGAAGAGCAGCAGCUCAAGGGUGAGUUAACCCAGUCACCCACACCUCGAAUGUCCAUCCAACCACCAGACCAUGUCAUAAUAGAUAUUGGCAACUCUGAAACAUCUGAAACUGUUAUCCCUAUUGGAACGGACAACCAUGAAGGGAAUGUUGAAGUAAGGAGAUCAACUAGAGAAAGAACCCAUCCCAAGAGACUCACCUACCCAUCCUUAGGAAACCCACUUGUGGUAGUUAUGCAGUCUUUACUUGGUGGCUUAGACAACGCACUACAAAUAGCCCUUGAACGUGACUUUUAUGCCCCUGUAUUUGAUGCUUAGGAGAUGUUGACAUGCAGGGACGCAUGCAAUUAAUGGGGGGGAGGAUGUAACCCACAUGUAUAUGUGUGGUACUGUUAGUGGUAUUUUAUUUCUGUAGGAUUUUGUUUUGUUAUUUAAUGUUCCCAGCAAUUUAGUUAUAUUUUCAUUUUGAGUUUUCUUGUCAUACCAGAAACCGCCAGCAGGUGGCUUGUGAGUUACACUCUGGUUUAGACAGCAGAAAACUAUUAGAAGAAGAAGAAAACCGUAGCUGGCUGUAGCACGUUGUGCGAAUUACUGCAUGCUAUAAGAUAAAUUCUUGAUUAAUUCCGGUAACGGUUAAGAGAAAAGAAGAUCCGUGACCUGAUCCCUGGCAGUAAAACACAUUUUUACUGUGAUUUUCUCUGGUGGGUUUUUUUAGAACCCCAUUCAACUUUGAAGACUGUCCAGCUGCAUAGCAUCGCAGGCCUGGAUUGGAUUGCUGAGCUCCAGGGUUCAACUCAAGACCUGGGACUGCUGGAUCCGCUGCCUACUUUGCACCGGAUAAGAUAAGAUUUUGGAUCCAAAGAAACACAUGGCCAUUUAACAAAGACUUGACUGACUGACUUAAAUUACUGAACUAAGAAAACAAAACUUCCAAAGGACGAACUGAACUAUAAGGAAUCUGAACCAAAAGAAAAUACACUGCCUGAUAAAAAAGGUGGACACUUUAUGUUGGAACAAAAAAAAAACUGUACCGUAAUAUUCUGUUUCAAGUUGUAUUAAAUAAUCUGUUCAUUCUUGAUAA